CCGUUCCCCUGCAGUCAUCAGUUGGUUAUUAUAAAAUUAAGAUCAUUUUGACACACUUUUUAUUUCUACUAGUUCAACCAUGGUGAGAAUCUUUUCAUGCUAUAUUUUUCUGAUAAUCAUAUAUGUAUGAUAGGUUCGUUCCUACACACUAUAUAUUCAUUAUUUGUUUGCUUAUGUAAUCAUGUUGUUGAUCCGUUAUUGCUAUAUUUAGGUGACCAUUAUAUUUGUAUGCUAACUGAACCAUGGUGAUUUAUGUAUAGCCAUGAUCAUUCCUAUUUAGUAUAUUAUUAUGAUCAUUUGCUGCUAUGUUUUAAAAUUAACAGUUCUAAAACUGUUCGAUUAUUUAAUUUGCCUAGUAUGGUUUAUCUACCUUCUACGUAUGUAUUCUUGUUUUCUGGGUCUAGGUGUUGCUUAACUUGUUUAGUGUGAUGAAUUGUCUAUGUUACAUAUUCAUGUUUUUUUCACUAUUCCCUGCAGGUGUACCCCCUGCAGUCAUUAGCUGGCUAUUAUAAGUUUAAGGUCAUUCUGACACACUUCGUAUUUGUAGUUCCUUUGCUUAGUUAACCAUGAAAAACACUAGGUGUCUCCUACAUUUUAAAGCUCCUGGGAAUCUGUCUAUUGACUCGGUAUGAAGAUAGAAGAUGUUCCUCACCAAGCGUUUCUGCACCGAUGCUCUAUAUUGUAGGUAUUUCUUUCUUUUAUCAUGUCUCUAAACUGGGUGUAAUUCAUGUUAUACAUCUCAUGUUAUGCAAUUAACUAUUCUUCUCAUUACCUACAUCUUUGAAGCAACGACUUAUCAAUUAUCUCUGCCAUAAUCUUGGUUUGUUUGCUUGCAACAAAGACACCAGAUGAAGAUUUGGAAUAUCAGGAUAUCAGCCAUGCCAAGAUGAGGAUGCUUCCUAUAUUUUGCUUGCAACAGUGACCCCAAUGAAAGACGAGGAUGCUUCCUAUAUUUUGCUUGCAACAGUGACCCCAAUGAAAGAUGAGGAUGCUUCUUCUAUGAUAUAUUAUUUAGACCAAUGAAAACUUGAUGAUCUUCAUUGUUUACCUUUACAUGGAUGAAACAUCUGUAUUAUGCUUUUGUAUUUGU